AGAGUUUGAUCCUGGCUCAGAACGAACGCUGGCGGCGUACCUAACACAUGCAAGUCGAACGAGAAAUUCCGAUUCGUCGGGAAAGUAAAGUGGCGAACGGGUGAGUAAUAUGAGGGUAAUCUACCUUUGAAUUAGGGAUAACUUUGCGAAAGCGAAGAUAAUACCUGAUAAGACUACAGCCUCUUAGGAGACAGUAGGAAAAGGUGGCCUCUGUCUCAUGCUAUCGUUUAUGGAUGAGCCCUCAUACUAUUAGCUUGUUGGUGAGGUAAUGGCUCACCAAGGCUACGAUGGUUAGCUGGUCUGAGAGGAUGAUCAGCCACACUGGAACUGAGACACGGUCCAGACUCCUACGGGAGGCAGCAGUGAGGGAUAUUGCGCAAUGGGGGAAACCCUGACGCAGUGACGCCGCGUGAGUGAUGAAGGCUUUCGAGUCGUAAAGCUCUGUUAGGUGGGAAGAAAUGUUCACGUGUUAAUACCACGUGGAUUUGACGGUACCACCCAAGGAAGCACCGGCUAACUCCGUGCCAGCAGCCGCGGUAAUACGGAGGGUGCAAGCGUUGUUCGGAAUUACUGGGCGUAAAGAGCGUGUAGGCGGUUCGGCAAGUCAGAUGUG
rnacentral:rRNA from 1 species